CAGUAGCCACGGUAAUACGUAGGGUGCAAGCGUUGUCCGGAAUUAUUGGGCGUAAAGAGCUCGUAGGCGGUUUGUCGCGUCUGCUGUGAAAACGCGAGGCUCAACCUCGCGCCUGCAGUGGGUACGGGCAGACUAGAGUGUGGUAGGGGAGAUUGGAAUUCCUGGUGUAGCGGUGGAAUGCGCAGAUAUCAGGAGGAACACCGAUGGCGAAGGCAGAUCUCUGGGCCAUUACUGACGCUGAGGAGCGAAAGCGUGGGGAGCAAACAGGAUUAGAUACCCCCGUAGUCCCUGUCUCUUAUAA
rnacentral:rRNA from 1 species